rnacentral:rRNA from 1 species
UAAGGAAUAUUGCGCAAUGGGGGAAACCCUGACGCAGCAACGCCGCGUGGAGGAUGACACUUUUCGGAGCGUAAACUCCUUUUAUCAGGAAAGAAUAAUGACGGUACCUGAUGAAUAAGCACCGGCUAACUCCGUGCCAGCAGCCGCGGUAAUACGGGGGGUGCAAGCGUUACUCGGAAUCACUGGGCGUAAAGGACGCGUAGGCGGAUUAUCAAGUCUUUUGUUAAAUCUAGUGGCUUAACCACUAAACUGCUUAGGAAACUGAUAGUCUAGAGUAGGGGAGAGGUAGAUGGAAUUCUUGGUGUAGGGGUAAAAUCCGUAGAGUUCAAGAAGAAUACCCAUUGCGAAAGCGAUCUGCUGGAACCUAACUGACGCUGAGGCGUGAAAGCGUGGGUAGCAAACAGG